CCUACGGGAGGCAGCAGUGAGGAAUAUUGGUCAAUGGACGAGAGUCUGAACCAGCCAAGUAGCGUGAAGGAUGACUGCCCUAUGGGUUGUAAACUUCUUUUACAUGGGAAUAAAAUGUUCCACGUGUGGGCUUUUGUAUGUUCCAUAGGAAUAAGGAUCGGCUAAACCCGUGCCAGCAGCCCUGGUAAUACGGAGGAUCCGAGCGUUAUCCGGAUUUAUUGGGUUUAAAGGGAGCGUAGGUGGGUUGUUAAGUCAGUUGUGAAAGUUUGCGGCUCAACCGUAAAAUUGCAGUUGAAACUGGCAGUCUUGAGUACAGUAGAGGUGUGCGGAAUGCGUGGUGUAGCGGUGAAAUGCUUAGAUAUCACGAAGAACUCCGAUUGCGAAGGCAGCUCACUGGACUGCAACUGACACUGAGGCUCGAAAGUGUGGGUAUCAAACAGGAUUAGAUACCCCGGUAGUC
rnacentral:rRNA from 1 species